rnacentral:tRNA from 1 species
ACUUUUUUAGUAUAAUUAAUAUAUUUGACUUCCAAUCAAAAGAUCUUAUUAAGAAAAAGUA